rnacentral:rRNA from 1 species
GACAGAGGGUGCAAACGUUGUUCGGAUUUACUGGGCGUAAAGCGCGUGUAGGCGGCUUUGCAAGUCGGAUGUGAAAGCCCACGGCUCAACCGUGGAAGUGCAUCCGAAACUGCAUGGCUGGAGUCUCGGAGAGGAAGGUGGAAUGCUUGGUGUAGAGGUGAAAUUCGUAGUUAUCAAGCAGAACACCUGCGGCGAAGGCGGCCUUCUGGACGAUGACUGACGCUGAGGCACGAAAGCGUGGGGAGCAAACAGG